CCUACGGGGGGCAGCAGUGGGGAAUAUUGCGCAAUGGGCGAAAGCCUGACGCAGCGACGCCGCGUGAGGGAUGAAGGUCUUCGGAUCGUAAACCUCUGUCAGCAGGGAAGUACGGUCACUGUGCUAAUCAGCAGUGAAUUGACGGUACCUGCAAAGGAAGCACCGGCUAACUCCGUGCCAGCAGCCGCGGUAAUACGGGGGGUGCGAGCGUUAAUCGGAAUUACUGGGCGUAAAGCGCGCGUAGGCGGUAUGUCAAGUCAAGGGUGAAAUCCCCGCGCUCAACGUGGGAACUGCAUUUGAUACUGGGAAACUGGAGUGUGUGAGAGGAUAGUGGAAUUCGAGGUGUAGGAGUGAAAUGCGUAGAUAUCUGGAGGAACAUCAGUGGCGAAGGCGACUAUCUGGCACAUAACUGACGCUGAGGAGCGAAAGCGUGGGUAGCAAACAGGAUUAGAUACCCGUGUAGUC
rnacentral:rRNA from 1 species